GUCCAGGUUACUCUGUUUGUCAUCCUUCCCUCUAACAUGUCAACUGCAAAACGCAGCAUGUAUAUAAGAUGCAGACUUGCUCAGAUGCACUCAAUCCCAAUGUUAUGUUGACUACAGAAAUGUAAAGACCAGAACCAAUCCCUGAGGAAUGCUAUCUGUCAUUGGCUUGCACUUGGACAUUGAGCCAUUGACCACAACACUAUGAGUGUGACCAUUCAUCCAAUUCCUUAUCCAGUGAGUGAUCCAUUCAUCAAAUCCUUUUUUUCUCCAAUUUGGCAGCCAGGAUGUCAUGAAGAACAGUGUUAAAUGCUUUGCACCAUUUAUCAGUUGCUUUUCUUUUCUCCACUGACUCUGUAAGUAUCAGUUAUCAGUUGCUUUUCUUUUCUCCACUGACUCUGUAACUCCAUCAUAAAAGGCCACCAAGUUUGUCAGGCAUGACUUGCCCUUGGUGAAGACAUGUUGGUUACCACCAGUCACCUUAGCUUUGUUUUCCAUGUACUUUAGUAGGAGCUUCAGGACAAUCUAUUUAAUGUUCUUGCCUAGCACAGAGGUGAGACUAACUGACUUUUAGUUCUCUGAAUCUGAAUUCCUGCUUCCACUAACUAUAGACUUUGUUUUUGCACCAAAGCAAGUUCAAGAGCAACUUGUUGAUUCACAGAGGCCUCCUUUGUCUGCCUUCCUCUUUCUCAGGAUGCACUUCUUCUGGGCUUUCAGAACAUGGUCCUUGAAUAUUCUGUAACUAGUUUACCUAUUUUGAAAGACCAGUCUACAACAAAAUGCAUACUUAUCUCUUGCUUAAGUCAUAAUUUACACAAUUAAUAAAUUACUUAAUAAAAAUAAAAUCUUUGCUUGAAUGUGCAAUUAUGCCAUCUUUAAAUCAUUAGAGUAUUGUCAUAUUACAGCCUUUAGUUUUUCUUUGAGAUAACUGAGUUACUCUCACCCAGGGAAAGCCAUCCUGUGAAAAUGCAUUCCUAAGGACUACAGCCAACAAAGGAUGCAAAUCUAUCUACAGAGGUUUGGUGACCAAUAUCUACCUACUGUCUAAGAAAAAAAUAAAUACAGGAGGUAGUGCCAGAGAGAUUUUGAAAAACAUCUCCCUUCUCUGGAAAGUCUUUACUGGUCUGAGUUACAAUGAAGACAAACAUAUUCUGCAUCUGACUCAAUCAGGCUUUUGA
rnacentral:lncRNA from 1 species